CCUACGGGGGGCAGCAGUGAGGAAUAUUGGUCAAUGGCCGGAAGCCUGAACCAGCCAAGCCGCGUGAGGGACGACUGUCCUGUGGGUUGUAAACCUCUUUUAUCAGGGAAGAAUAAAUGCGACGUGUAGCAUGAUGCCUGUACCUUAUGAAUAAGCAUCGGCUAACUCCGUGCCAGCAGCCGCGGUAAUACGGAGGAUGCGAGCGUUAUCCGGAUUUAUUGGGUUUAAAGGGUGCGUAGGCGGUUUUUGAAGUUAGUGGUUAAACGUCGGGGCUUCCACUUGAUUUGCCAUUAAUACGGUAAGAAUCGAGGUGAGACGAGGUAGGGGGAAUAAGUUAAGUAGCGGUGAAAGGGUUAGAUAUA
rnacentral:rRNA from 1 species